UACGAAGGGGGCUAGCGUUGUUCGGAAUCACUGGGCGUAAAGGGCGCGUAGGCGGCCUCUUUAGUCAGACGUGAAAUCCUAGGCUCAACCUAGGAACUGCGUCUGAUACUGGAUGGCUUGAAUCGGGAGAGGGAUGCAGAAUUCCAGGUGUAGCGGUGAAAUGCGUAGAUAUCUGGAGGAACACCGGUGGCGAAGGCGGCAUCCUGGACCGGUAUU
rnacentral:rRNA from 1 species